UGAGGAAUAUUGGGCAAUAGGGGCAACCCUGACCCAGCCAUGCCGCGUGAAGGAUGAAUGCCCUAUGGGUUGUAAACUUCUUUUGUACGGGACGAAUCCCCUUUACGUGUAGAGGGUUGACGGUACUGUAUGAAUAAGCAUCGGCUAACUCCGUGCCAGCAGCCGCGGUAAUACGGAGGAUGCAAGCGUUAUCCGGAUUCAUUGGGUUUAAAGGGUGCGUAGGCGGAAUGAUAAGUCAGCGGUGAAAGCCUGCAGCUUAACUGUAGAAAUGCCAUUGAUACUGUCGUUCUUGAAUGCAGCUGAGGUAAGCGGAAUGUGUAAUGUAGCGGUGAAAUGCGUAGAUAUUACACAGAACGUCGAUUGCGUAGGCAGCUUACUAAACUGUGAUUGACGCUGAGGC
rnacentral:rRNA from 1 species